UAGGUGAACCUGCGGAAGGAUCAUUAGUGAAUCUUCAAAGUCGGCUCGUCGGAUUGUGCUGGUGGGCAACCACAUGUGCACGUCUACGGGUCGCAAAUCCACACACCUGUGCAUCUAUGACUCUGAGUGCCGCUUUGCAUGGCCCUUGAUUGGACCUGGCGCUCGAGUACUUUUCACACACUCUUGAAUGUAACGGAAUGUCAAUGUUGUGCACAAUGUACAAACGAAACAACUUUCAACAACGGAUCUCUUGGCUCUCGCAUCGAUGAAGAACGCAGCGAAAUGCGAUAAGUAAUGUGAAUUGCAGAAUUCAGUGAAUCAUCGAAUCUUUGAACGCACCUUGCACCCUUUGGUAUUCCGAAGGGUACACCCGUUUGAGUGUCAUUGUAAUCUCACUACCAUCGACUUUGGUCUUUUCGGUAUGUGGACUUGGAUGCUGCCGUUGUUGUCGACGGCUCGUCUGAAAUGCCUGAGUGUACCCCGCUUUGCGGCGUAUUCGGUGUGAUACAUCUUCACCGGAGUUGAUCCUUGUGGUCGCGUCUGUAAUGGUGUGGCUCUAUGCUUCCAACCGUCUCUUUGGUUAGACAAUCUCUGACAAUUUGACCUCAAAUCGGGUGGGACUACCCGCUGAACUUAAGCAUAUCAAUAAGCGGAGGAAAAGAAACUAACAAGGAUUCCCCUAGUAACGGCGAGUGAAGAGGGAAAAGCUCAAAUUUUGAAUCUGGUGUCUUUGACUCCCGAGUUGUAAUCUAGAGAAGUGUUUUCCGUGUCGGACCGUGCACAAGUUCCCUGGAACGGGGCGUCAUAGAGGGUGAGAAUCCCGUAUAUGGCAUGGACUACCGAUGCUUUUGUGAUACACUCUCAACGAGUCGAGUUGUUUGGGAAUGCAGCUCAAAAUGGGUGGUAAAUUCCAUCUAAAGCUAAAUAUUGGCGAGAGACCGAUAGCGAACAAGUACCGUGAGGGAAAGAUGAAAAGCACUUUGGAAAGAGAGUGAAACAGUACGUGAAAUUGUUGAAAGGGAAGCGUUUGAAGUCAGUCAUAUCUGGCGGGAUUCAGCCGGGCUUUUGCCAGGUGUACUUCUCGUCCGAUGGGUCAGCAUCAAUUUCGACCGGGGGAAAAAGGCAUUGGGAAUGUGGCUGUCUUCGGGCAGUGUUAUAGCCUCGUGUUGUAUGCCUCGGUUGGGAUUGAGGAACGCAGCGCGCCGCAUGGCCAGGGGUUCGCCUCUUGACACGCGCUUAGGAUGCUGGCAUAAUGGCUUUAAGCGACCCGUCUUG
rnacentral:rRNA from 1 species